GAAGGAUUUAAGUUAAUUUAAACUUUUAGUCUUCAAAACUAACAAUAGACUAUAUCUAAACCUU
rnacentral:tRNA from 1 species